AACCAACUAUAUAGAGAAGUCUACCAACUCAAUUAACCAUGAUACCAAGUAAUAACAAACACAAUUUCAAUCUAAUCUCUCCCUCCCAAACAACUUAGAACAGCUUGAUUGGGGACCAAGCAUCCAGCGGGUGAAUCAGAUAGGUCAGGACCAGUGCCACAAGCAUCAGCACAUAAGCAACUCCUUGAUCAACAGAUGUUCCAUCGCUCGUCGGUGCCGGAGCCGGCGCCUGCGCCUGCACGGCCGGCAGGGCAAUCGCGAAGAUCAUCGCCACGACGGCCAGCACGCCGAUCGGAAGCCUCAUCAUCGCCGACAUCUCAACGAUCGGAACCUAGGGGAAGAGCUGCGAGGGGCAAAACGGUCUUUUUG
rnacentral:misc_RNA from 1 species